AAAGCAACCAGUCCCUCAGGAAUGCUGGAGUCCUAUUUAACAUGCACAAAUCAUGGCUACUUCAGACACGCUACAGUCUGCAUCGAUCAACCUCCGGAUUCGUCUACCCGAAGUACAACCAGUUUCACAACUGACUCUUCUCUCAUCUCAGGCACACUUUAUCUCCUGCUGCCCGCAUGACAAAACCCCAGCCUAGUUGGAGGACGUGCGACUCUGUGAACGUAGAUGGCCCACCUUGCUUGGACUGUUCUACAUGAAAUCAUCCAUAGAUGACCCAGAAGUUGACUACAGGUACAGGAAACCAUCCAGGACCAAAAG
rnacentral:lncRNA from 1 species